rnacentral:rRNA from 1 species
GAUGAACGCUGGCGGCGUGCCUAAUACAUGCAAGUCGAGCGAACGGACGAGAAGCUUGCUUCUCUGAUGUUAGCGGCGGACGGGUGAGUAACACGUGGAUAACCUACCUAUAAGACUGGGAUAACUUCGGGAAACCGGAGCUAAUACCGGAUAAUAUUUUGAACCGCAUGGUUCAAAAGUGAAAGACGGUCUUGCUGUCACUUAUAGAUGGAUCCGCACUGCAUUAGCUAGUUGGUAAGGUAACGGCUUACCAAGGCAACGAUGCGUAGCCGACCUGAGAGGGUGAUCGGCCACACUGGAACUGAGACACGGUCCAGACUCCUACGGGAGGCAGCAGUAGGGAAUCUUCCGCAAUGGGCGAAAGCCUGACGGAGCAACGCCGCGUGAGUGAUGAAGGUCUUCGGAUCGUAAAACUCUGUUAUUAGGGAAGAACAAAUGUGUAAGUAACUAUGCACGUCUUGACGGUACCUAAUCAGAAAGCCACGGCUAACUACGU